UGUGCAGAUACCCUAGUAGCGGCGAGCGAAGCGGGAAGAGCUCAAAUUUAUAAUCUGGCACCUUCGGUGUCCGAGUUGUAAUCUCUAGAAAUGUUUUCCGCGUUGGACCGCACACAAGUCUGUUGGAAUACAGCGGCAUAGUGGUGAGACCCCCGUAUAUGGUGCGGACGCCCAGCGCUUUGUGAUACAUUUUCGAAGAGUCGAGUUGUUUGGGAAUGCAGCUCAAAUUGGGUGGUAAAUUCCAUCUAAAGCUAAAUAUUGGCGAGAGACCGAUAGCGAACAAGUACCGUGAGGGAAAGAUGAAAAGCACUUUGGAAAGAGAGUUAACAGUACGUGAAAUUGUUGGAAGGGAAACGCUUGAAGUCAGACUUGCUUGCCGAGCAAUCGGUUUGCAGGCCAGCAUCAGUUUUCCGGGAUGGAUAAUGGUAGAGAGAAGGUAGCAGUUUCGGCUGUGUUAUAGCUCUCUGCUGGAUACAUCUUGGGGGACUGAGGAACGCAGUGUGCCUUUGGCGGGGGUUUCGACCUCUUCACACUUAGGAUGCUGGUGGAAUGGCUUUAAACGACCCGUCUUAAACACCACGACCCAAAAUGACGACACCACCUACUACGGCGACAAUGC
rnacentral:rRNA from 1 species